rnacentral:rRNA from 1 species
UACGUAGGGGCCUAGCGUUGUCCGGAAUUAUUGGGCGUAAAGAGCUCGUAGGCGGUUCGGCAAGUCGGAUGUGAAAUCUCCACGCUUAACGUGGAGGGGCCAUUCGAAACUGCUGUGACUCGAGUCCGGUAGGGGAGUGUGGAAUUCCCGGUGUAGCGGUGAAAUGCGCAGAUAUCGGGAGGAACACCAGUAGCGAAGGCGGCACUCUGGGCCGGUACUGACACUGAGGCGCGAAAGCGUGGGGAGCGAACAGG